rnacentral:rRNA from 1 species
GCAAGAUUAAAACUCAAAGGAAUAGACGGGGACCCGCACAAGCGGUGGAGCAUGUGGUUUAAUUCGACGAUACGCGAAGAACCUUACCUGGCCUUGACAUAGAAAGAACUUUCCAGAGACGGAUUGGUGCUAGUUUACUAGAGCUUUCAUACAGGUGCUGCACGGCUGUCGUCAGCUCGUGUCGUGAGAUGUUGGGUUAAGUCCCGCAACGAGCGCAACCCUCGUGUUUAGUUACUAACAGUUCGGCUGAGGACUCUAAACAGACUGCCUGGGUAACCAGGAGGAAGGUGAGGACGACGUCAAGUCAUCAUGGCCCUUACGGCCAGGGCUACACACGUGCUACAAUGGGGUAUACAAAGAGCUGCAAUACGGUGACGUGGAGCAAAUCUCAUAAAAUAUCUCCCAGUUCGGAUUGAAGUCUGCAACUCGACUUCAUGAAGUUGGAAUCGCUAGUAAUCGUAGAUCAGCAAUGCUACGGUGAAUACGUUCCCGGGUCUUGUACUCACCGCCCGUCACACCAUGGGAAUUGAAUUCAUUCGAAGCGGGGAUGCUAAAAUAGCUACCUUCCACAGUGGAUUUAGUAACUAGGGUGAAGUCGUAACAAGGU